ensembl:miRNA Gm27486 predicted gene, 27486
GCUUCAAGAUGGCGGCGGGGAGGUAGGCAGAGCCAGACGCCGUUUUGCCGCCGCCGCCGCCGCCUCCGCUCCUGUCGCC